UGCAGCGACGCCGCGUGAGGGAUGACGGCCUUCGGGUUGUAAACCUCUUUCAGCAGGGACGAAGCGUAAGUGACGGUACCUGCAGAAGAAGCACCGGCCAACUACGUGCCAGCAGCCGCGGUAAGACGUAGGGUGCGAGCGUUGUCCGGAUUUAUUGGGCGUAAAGAGCUCGUAGGCGGCUUGUCGCGUCGACCGUGAAAACUUGGGGCUCAACCCCAAGCCUGCGGUCGAUACGGGCAGGCUAGAGUUCGGUAGGGGAGACUGGAAUUCCUGGUGUAGCGGUGAAAUGCGCAGAUAUCAGGAGGAACACCGGUGGCGAAGGCGGGUCUCUGGGCCGAUACUGACGCUGAGGAGCGAAAGCGUGGGGAGCGAACAGGAUUAGAUACCCUGGUAGUCCACGCUGUAAACGUUGGGCGCUAGGUGUGGGGGGCCUCUCCGGUUCUCUGUGCCGCAGCUAACGCAUUAAGCGCCCCGCCUGGGGAGUACGGCCGCAAGGCUAAAACUCAAAGGAAUUGACGGGGGCCCGCACAAGCGGCGGAGCAUGCGGAUUAAUUCGAUGCAACGCGAAGAACCUUACCUGGGUUUGACAUGGCCGCAAAACUUGCAGAGAUGUAAGGUCCUUCGGG
rnacentral:rRNA from 1 species